UACGGGGGGGGGCAAGCGUUUGUUCGGAAUUACUGGGCGUAAAGAGCGUGUAGGCGGCCAGGUAGGUCUGCUGUGAAAACUCGAGGCUCAACCUCGAGACGUCGGCGGAAACCAUCUGGCUAGAGUCCGGAAGAGGAGAGUGGAAUUCCUGGUGUAGCGGUGAAAUGCGCAGAUAUCAGGAAGAACACCCGUGGCGAAGGCGGCUCUCUGGGACGGUACUGACGCUGAGACGCGAAAAGCGUGGGGAGCGAACAGG
rnacentral:rRNA from 1 species